GAUGAACGCUGGCGGCGUGCCUAAUACAUGCAAGUCGAGCGAACAGACGAGGAGCUUGCUCCUCUGACGUUAGCGGCGGACGGGUGAGUAACACGUGGAUAUCCUACCUAUAAGACUGGGAUAACUUCGGGAAACCGGAGCUAAUACCGGAUAAUAUAUUGAACCGCAUGGUUCAAUAGUGAAAGACGGUUUUGCUGUCACUUAUAGAUGGAUCCGCGCCGCAUUAGCUAGUUGGUAAGGUAACGGCUUACCAAGGCAACGAUGCGUAGCCGACCUGAGAGGGUGAUCGGCCACACUGGAACUGAGACACGGUCCAGACUCCUACGGGAGGCAGCAGUAGGGAAUCUUCCGCAAUGGGCGAAAGCCUGACGGAGCAACGCCGCGUGAGUGAUGAAGGUCUUCGGAUCGUAAAACUCUGUUAUUAGGGAAGAACAAAUGUGUAAGCAACUAUGCACGUCUUGACGGUACCUAAUCAGAAAGCCACGGCUAACUACGUG
rnacentral:rRNA from 1 species